GUUUUUAGAAAAUCUAUUGAAAUUCAGCUUCCCCACUUCCUGUAUUUUCAGCAGUUCUUUAAAAUAAUUUCAGCUAUUCUUAUGCCUCUAUCAACAGCAAUUUUUCAAUAUUCAUUUCUGUAUUUUUUUGCAAUAUUUCAAAUUUAUUUCAGCUGUUUUCAUUUCUGCUUUUUCAGCAAAUCUAUUGAAAUUCCUUUCAGCUUCUCCCAUUUCUGUAUUUUCAGCAAUUUCAAAUUCAUUUCAGCUUUUCAGCAAAUGUAUUCAAAUUCCCUUCAACUUUCUGUAUUUUCAGCUAUUUUUAAAUAUUCAGUGCAGCUUUCAGCUUUUUGCAUUCCAACGCAUUUUCAGCAGGAAAUGCCUUUUCUAGUUAUUAUGUUUCUUCUAUUUCUUCCGCGCCCCCUUUCAACUCCUUCACAUUUUCAGCUAUUAAAAUCCUUCAAAUAUUAAAAUGUUCAGCUCCUUUCUGGCUUGAGGGCUAUGACUUUUCAGCUUUCUACCUCUUAUGCUUGAAUUUAUAUAAAUCAAUAAUCAUUAAUAUUUUAACAUGGUUUUCAAAUGGAGUUUUCUUUCAAAUCCUCCUAAACUUCUUCAACUUUCAGAUUUUUCAGCUUCGCAAAUCUUUCAGCUACAGACACCAUUUCAACUUUCAAAUGUUGACACAAGUCUUAACUAUUUUAUGAAAAAAAGUGCUUCUUGAUAUCUAUUGUACUUUUUUCAUAAUCACUGAUUAUGUUUCACUAGUUCUUCGCUCCGUUUCUGACUUUUACAUGAGUGUGUAUUGCGUCUGCUAGAGGGGGACCUCGACGGCUAGAGUGUGGGGCAUCGCAGGAAUCUGGUAAAAAAAAUAUGGAACUUCUGUCCUUGCAGCCAAAGUAUACACUCUAGAGGCUUCAUUUCUUCAGAUUAAUGAGGGUAUGGUUGUGCUGAUUGGAUUAAUGUGUUCAUGGAAUCCCAGAGUUCUUUAGUUUUGGCGCAAGGAGUGUUUGAGUGACACAACCUCUGCCAAAAGCCCCAUAGGCUCCAAUACAAAUCUGCCGACAUAUUUCUCACAAAAAUCCACAAGGUACACGUUUUGUAAACGGCCAUAGGAGCCGUAUUUAUUACCGGACAGACAUAAAACGCACAUCCACGCGUUCGGUAGAGUCUUGGGUCUCAUACAAACGCCGUAUUUUUUAGAUAGCUGUUAUAGUUUUGCGCUGGUUCUCAUUUGUUUGAGGUGUGGAUUCUGUGUAACUUGCUGUCCUGUGUCUGCCCCUUUGCAGCCGCACAGGUGCGCCGUUGUCGUGGUUACUCGCUCACACGCUGCAGGAUCUGUCUGUGGCUCAAAGCUGCUCCUAUGACCUGAUUAGUGGAGUCACAUGACGCAGCUAUGCUUUCUGUCAACAGACCAAUAUGAUAAAGACACUCGCCCCCCUCCCCCCUCCACCCUGACCUCUUCUCACUGUUAAUCACUCAGUCAGUCAGUAUGUCU
ensembl:lncRNA